rnacentral:misc_RNA from 1 species
UGAAAUGCGAAAAGUAAUGCGAUUUGCAUGAAUCUGUGAGUCAUCAAGUCUUUGAACGCACCUUGCACCAUAUGAGCAAUCGUAUGGUAUACCUGUUUGAGAAUCGUAAAAACCCCCUCCUACCAGUUGGUAGGGAAUUGUCGGCUGACCGUUUUGCGGUCUCCGGCCAAAUGUAGUAGGUUUGACCAGGCUAGUGGCCUUGGACAUUGUGUGCUAGAGACGUCGCUUCGGCUACUGUCUUCUCACGAUGCGUCCCUGGCUAUUCAAGCUAGACUGGUUCGGGCCUCCACAGUACCGCCCUAACGGGCAGUACAACCCCAAUUUUUGAUCUCAAAUCAGGUAAGGCUACCCGCUGAACUUAA